rnacentral:rRNA from 1 species
UUGAACGCUGGCGGCAUGCCUUACACAUGCAAGUCGAACGGUAACGGGCCUUCGGGUGCCGACGAGUGGCGAACGGGUGAGUAAUACAUCGGAACGUGCCCGAUCGUGGGGAAUAACGAGGCGAAAGCUUUGCUAAUACCGCAUACGAUCUACGGAUGAAAGCAGGGGACCGCAAGGCCUUGCGCGGACGGAGCGGCCGAUGGCAGAUUGGGUAGUUGGUGGGAUAAAAGCUUACCAAGCCGACGAUCUGUAGCUGGUCUGAGAGGAUGAUCAGCCACACUGGGACUGAGACACGGCCCAGACUCCUACGGGAGGCAGCAGUGGGGAAUUUUGGACAAUGGGCGCAAGCCUGAUCCAGCCAUGCCGCGUGCAGGAUGAAGGCCUUCGGGUUGUAAACUGCUUUUGUACGGAACGAAAAGCCUUCUUUUAAUACAGGAGGGUCAUGACGGUACCGUAAGAAUAAGCACCGGCUAACUACGUG